rnacentral:lncRNA from 1 species
CGAAGCCCUCAUAUUGGUUCAGGAAGCUAAUGAAAUUUAAUUUUAUAUUAUCCUGGCAAAGGUAGUGUUGUGUCUCCAUAUCUAAUUCUUUCCUGUAUUUCAUUUAAACUUAAUACACCUUUGACACAAAGGAUAAAGACAUUAGAGAGGGUGUGGGCAGCAGAAAAUUCAAUAAACUUUAUUUCUUUAGCAGGCAGGCAAAUUUACAAGCCAAACUCUUCAAUAGACACUUUGUAGCAACAUCUGUGUUUAAAGAUGCACACAGUGACAGCACUCCUUCCACAGUCUGUGCAAUACUGAGCGCCCAAGGUGUGCUUGGGAAGCCGUCUUUCUAAUGGCGAUUAGAUUUAUGGUCUUUGCCUUCAUGCUAGGAGAGAUUAGUAAAACCAAGGCUGUUUAGUUUGGCAAAGACCAGAGAGAACAGAGGACGUGAUAGGUACAUUAUAGAAAAUGAUAAAUGAAGAAAAGGCAGACUGGGGGGCUCUGUAUGUACUAUGGCAAAGACACUCAGCAAACUCUAAGCUAUCCACUGAGGCUGUUGACUAACUCAGAGGUUUCAGGCUGCCGCGCGGGAAGCCAGACCUCAGGGGAAAGAAGCUGUGUUGAUGGGGAAUGUCUGGGUGGAUGUAUUUAUACGAAAUAGCACCUAUGGUUACAUUAGCAGGAUCGGUUUACCGGGACCAUCCAUCCUACUUUAGGCCACAGUGACAAGUCUGGCUGUGCUUCCUGUUUCCCGGGGUAGGGUGUGUGUGGUGGGGGGGAGGGGCCCCAGACGUCUUGGCACCAGUCCCCUCCCUCUAUAGGGUGUCUGGGUUUCCAGCAGCCUCUUUCUCCUAAGGGAGGAACAUCUAGCAUCCGAUGAAUGGACAUGGAUUCUGGGGGCUGUUGUGCAGGACGUGGCCAGCAGGCUAGCACAAGGCCUGUCCUCAGAAAUUUAGUAAAGGCCAGAGUAAAGGGGGUUCCCAGACUACGCACCUCCUGUAGAAGGGAGUGGAAACUGGGUUUGAUUUGUCCCUGGGCACUUUGUGUAUCCUGGCCCCAGAGAGAAUUCUACAAUACUACAGCAUAUAAGUCAGUUAGCAAAUGGCAUAUUUUUGGUGGGUAAUGUUAACAACAGAGUCCUAGGAUCAUUCCUGGUCUCUUCCCUGGUUUUUCUGCAAAUCCUCUUUUUGUUCCUCAGUUUCCUCUCUGGAAACUGAUAUCUUAAGCUUUAACCUCAUGGUGGUGGAUAGGAAUGGUGUGGGGUCAGGCUGCUAAUAUCUGAUGUGCUUUGAAGUCCUUGGCAGGUCAGACCAGCUCUCUCAGGCAACUGUGCUGGAAACCAUUCUAAAGUGGCUAUCCUGGUGGUGAGAGAAUUCCUCAGCUUCCACCCUUCACCCCCAACCCCUUUUGUAAAACAGACUUUUCAAGCUCCUCUGAUGAAUUAAUUCAUUCAUUCAUUUAAAAAGUCAAUACACAAUGAUCGCAAAUAGAUGUAACAACGUAAAAUUCUUUUUCCCCUUUCUCUAGAUCUAUCUCUCUCUCUCUCCUCUCUUCUCCCCCUCUCCCUCCUCCUUCUCACCUCUCUUCUGCACUUUCCUCUCUCUCUCUCCCCUGUCUUUAACUUCUGUUUAGGGUUUUAUUAAGCGUUAUUUAAAACCCUUAGCUUCUGGGAAUAGAAUACUUCUUUAUAGAUGGCAGCUAAUUUGGCUGGCAGCUCUCUCUUGCUUUUUAACACAGCACCCGAAUGGUACUCCUCUCUCCUCCCAUGCUCAGAGCCCAGAAUUGCUGAAAAUAUUGAAAGAGACCACGAGAAGGGACUAAAGGGGAAAUGCAUUUGGGUUUUGUUUUUGCUUUGUUUGGUGGUUGGUGCUUAAGCUCUUGGACCAUAAGGAAAACAAGAGGUGCCUCUGUUUAAAAGCCUUGCAGAGAAAAAUGGAUCAAAGGUGUCAGCGAGAGUGAGGUGGGCCAGCUCAUCUAAAAAACAGCUCAAGUGCAUUUACUGGAAACUUGAUUUUAAAUACUUUGGGCUGGUCAGCUGGAGCUGAGACAUUAGCUGUGAUUAAGAAGAGACAAGCAUCAUGGAACUGAAAUCUUCUGGGAAGUAUUUCCUCGGAGUCAGCACACGGAAGCUGGGUUCCAGAUGUGGCCAAGGUUGUGCUUCGAACUGGUAGCCAAACUAAGUAAUGUGUAAGAGUCACCCAGGUGGUGCCAGUUUUGACAGUGUGAAGGGGUCAUGGGCAGCAGCCGAGUCUCGGUACUGUGUGGCAGGGUUGGAGUCCCUAAGAGAGCCCAGAAGAGGCUAUUGGUGAAAGCACAGCCCAGCUGCAGCAGAAGACGCUAGCAUUUGGGAGAUGGUAGUACCAUGUGAUGACCACCAAGAAGAGCAGCAAUGGAGCAGACUCAGCCAGAGCCUGGAAAACAAGCUGUGUGUCACAGAGGGCAGAGCUAGAAAAAUGACUCGGGCCCCUUGGAGGAGCCCAGAGGAUCAUGAGUGAAUCAUAGAUAACUGGGCAUUACGUUAUUUACACUGGAGUUUGGUUUUGCUUUGUUUAGAUGGUGACUAUACCCUGGUUCUUCCCUCUUGAAAUAAGAAUUUAAUUUAUUAUGGAUAUGAUAGGAGCCCACAACUGAGAGACUUUGGAUUUUUCAAAGAGACUUGAUUUCUAAGUGUUUGAACGUGUAAAGACUGCAGGACUUUUUAAGUCUAUGAACUGUUUCAUAUUGUGAUGCUGAUGUUAAUAUGUGAUCUCAGGAGUGGAUAGGAAGGGAAAGGUUGUAGCUUAACAGUUCUGUGUUUGUCAAGCUGACAAGGGGUUGAUUGUUCUGGUGAGUUUUGUGUCAAUCUGGCACAAGCUACAUUCAGCUGAGAGAAGAAACUUCAAUUUAAAAAUGCCUCCAGAGGGGCUGGAGAGAUGGCUCAGCGGUUAAGAGCACUGACUGCUCUUCCUAAAGGUCCUGAGUUCAAAUCCCAGCAACCAUAUGGUGGCUCACAACCAUCUGUAAUGUGAUCUGAUGCUCUCUUCUGAAGACAGCUACAGUGUACUUAGAUAUAAUAAUAAAUAAAUCUUUAAAAAAAAUUUAAAAAUGCCUCCAGAAUAUGGGGCUGUAGGCAAGCCUGCAGGGUAUUUUCUUAAUUAGUGAUUGAUGAGUUGGGGGGGGGGGCAAACCAUUGUAGGUGGGCCACAAUGUCCUGUGCUUUGUAAGAAAGCAGGUGGACUGAGCCAUGAAAACCAAGCCAGUGAGCAGUGUUUGUUUCUGCUUCCGUUCCUGCCUUGAGUUCCUGCCCUGACUUCCCCUGAUGAUAGACUAUCAACUGUAAGAUGAAAUAAACCAUUUAUUUCCUCAUCAAGAUGCUCUUGUCCUGGUGUUUUGUUCAAUUUUUUUUUUUUUUUUUUUUUUUUUUUUUUUUUUUUUUUUUUUAGCACAGCAAUAGAC